CCUACGGGUGGCAGCAGUGAGGAAUAUUGGUCAAUGGACGAGAGUCUGAACCAGCCAAGUAGCGUGAAGGAUGACUGCCCUAUGGGUUGUAAACUUCUUUUAUAUGGGAAUAAAACAGGGUAUGCAUACCCUCUUGUAUGUACCAUAUGAAUAAGGAUCGGCUAACUCCGUGCCAGCAGCCGCGGUAAUACGGAGGAUCCGAGCGUUAUCCGGAUUUAUUGGGUUUAAAGGGUGCGUAGGUGGUCUGUUAAGUCAGUUGUGAAAGUUUGCGGCUCAACCGUAAAAUUGCAGUUGAAACUGGCAGGCUUGAGUACAGUAGCGGUAGGCGGAAUGCGUGGUGUAGCGGUGAAAUGCUUAGAUAUCACGAAGAACUCCGAUUGCGAAGGCAGCUUACUGGACUGCAACUGACACUGAGGCUCGAAAGUGUGGGUAUCAAACAGGAUUAGAUACCCUUGUAGUC
rnacentral:rRNA from 1 species